CUUAAAUCAGAGCAGAAGGUCAUGGUAUUAAAUUUUGCAUGCAUUGCUAAAAAAAUUAUAUCUUCCUCAGUAUUUUUGUUUUGUUUUCCAAUACAGAUAUUUAAACAUGCUUAAAACAAGAUUCAUUUACUUGAGAUGCAAAAUAAAGAUAUGAAGUCUUGUUUUCUGAGAAAUUGAACAGAAUUGAGUGAGUUUGUUUGGAACAAGAACAAAUAUGUGUCACCCUAGGUCCACUGGCAGAUAUGUAUUCUUUUUAAUCAUGAACUCACUAUCAAUUUCACAGAAAAGAAGAUUCAUGUCAUUUUUCUUUUCAAGUAAGUGUAUCUCGAUUUAAGAAUUUUUAGACAUAUGCACUGGGAAACAAGGCAAAUAUAUUGAGGAAUAACAUCACUUUUUUGCAAUGUUGUUAAAGGUAUUUACAUAUUCUAGUGGCUGGGAGCAAAAUAAUUUUUGAGCCUUUUAAGUCUUAUUUUUUGUAAAAUUAAUUAAGAAUUAAUGGCGCUUGGUGAGAAAUUGUAUUUUCAAGUGUUUCUAAUGCUACAUAUUGACAUAUUACAUAAUUAUUUGUUACAUUUUCUUUACUUGGUAUUAAAAAGGCCUUUAAAAAUCCUGCAGAAACCAUGUGUGACAGAUCUAUGUGUAUAUUUUGGUUGAGAGUAUUUGAGGUAUGACAUACAGGGUAUCUGUACUAAACAUACAAGACAUGUAAUUAAAGUCAACAACAACGAGGAAGGAAAACUCAAAACAUGUUACUUUCAUGUUAUAUAACAUGUACAUUCUCUAUUGUUACAGUUUCCCAGGGAGAAGCAGAUAGGUGGUCUGAACUCUCCAUCUCAGAGCAGGCGGAUUUUGGUGCACCAACUCAAAGCAACCAAUGUCAAAAAAGGAUGUCAGACUCAUGUAGGAGAGCUUUGUUGUGUGCUGAGUCUGGACACUCCUUCCACUGAAUGGAGAAGCGGAUUCCGUACUCCUUCCCCCAGUCCUGGAGCUGCCCUGCACUGGACUGACGACUUCAAACUGUAAGCACACUAUUCUGCCAUCAUUAUUGUAAAGCAGAAAUAGAUCAACAUAAAGACAUGAAACUAAAUGAAUGGAGUGGGUUGAAACUUUCUGAGUGAGGUGUUGACAUGUCUGACUCCUAGGAAAU
rnacentral:lncRNA from 1 species